UUAUCGGAAUUACUGGGCGUAAAGGGAGCGUAGGUGGCUCGAUAAGUCAGAUGUGAAAUCCCCGGGCUCAACCUGGGAACUGCAUCUGAUACUGUUGAGCUAGAGUAUGUGAGAGGAAGGUAGAAUUCCAGGUGUAGCGGUGAAAUGCGUAGAGAUCUGGAGGAAUACCGAUGGCGAAGGCAGCCUUCUGGCAUAAUACUGACACUGAGGCUCGAAAGCGUGGGUAGCAAACAGGAUUAGAUACCCUGGUAGUCCACGCCGUAAACGAUGUCUACUAGUCGUUGGGUCCCUUGAGGACUUAGUGACGCAGCUAACGCAAUAAGUAGACCGCCUGGGGAGUACGGCCGCAAGGUUAAAACUCAAAGGNAUU
rnacentral:rRNA from 1 species